rnacentral:rRNA from 1 species
UGAGUAACCUGCCCUUAACUCUGGGAUAAGCCUGGGAAACUGGGUCUAAUACCGGAUAUGACUCCUCAUCGCAUGGUGGGGGGUGGAAAGCUUUAUUGUGGUUUUGGAUGGACUCGCGGCCUAUCAGCUUGUUGGUGAGGUAAUGGCUCACCAAGGCGACGACGGGUAGCCGGCCUGAGAGGGUC